rnacentral:tRNA from 1 species
GCCCCCGUGGCCCAACAGGCAGAGGCACUUCGUCGAGAGCGAAGACGUUGCAGGUUCGAAUCCUGCCGGGGGCA